rnacentral:rRNA from 1 species
GGGUUGUGAGGUUAAGCGACUAAGCGUACACGGUGGAUGCCCUGGCAGUCAGAGGCGAUGAAGGACGUGCUAAUCUGCGAUAAGCGUCGGUAAGGUGAUAUGAACCGUUAUAACCGGCGAUUUCCGAAUGGGGAAACCCAGUGUGAUUCGUCACACUAUCAUUAACUGAAUCCAUAGGUUAAUGAGGCGAACCGGGGGAACUGAAACAUCUAAGUACCCCGAGGAAAAGAAAUCAACCGAGAUUCCCCCAGUAGCGGCGAGCGAACGGGGAGGAGCCCAGAGCCUGAAUCAGUGUGUGUGUUAGUGGAAGCGUCUGGAAAGGCGCGCGAUACAGGGUGACAGCCCCGUACACAAAAAUGCACAUACUGUGAGCUCGAUGAGUAGGGCGGGACACGUGGUAUCCUGUCUGAAUAUGGGGGGACCAUCCUCCAAGGCUAAAUACUCCUGACUGACCGAUAGUGAACCAGUACCGUGAGGGAAAGGCGAAAAGAACCCCGGCGAGGGGAGUGAAAAAGAACCUGAAACCGUGUACGUACAAGCAGUGGGAGCCUCUUUAUGGGGUGACUGCGUACCUUUUGUAUAAUGGGUCAGCGACUUAUAUUCUGUAGCAAGGUUAACCGAAUAGGGGAGCCGAAGGGAAACCGAGUCUUAACUGGGCGUUAAGUUGCAGGGUAUAGACCCGAAACCCGGUGAUCUAGCCAUGGGCAGGUUGAAGGUUGGGUAACACUAACUGGAGGACCGAACCGACUAAUGUUGAAAAAUUAGCGGAUGACUUGUGGCUGGGGGUGAAAGGCCAAUCAAACCGGGAGAUAGCUGGUUCUCCCCGAAAGCUAUUUAGGUAGCGCCUCGUGAAUUCAUCUCCGGGGGUAGAGCACUGUUUCGGCAAGGGGGUCAUCCCGACUUACCAACCCGAUGCAAACUGCGAAUACCGGAGAAUGUUAUCACGGGAGACACACGGCGGGUGCUAACGUCCGUCGUGAAGAGGGAAACAACCCAGACCGCCAGCUAAGGUCCCAAAGUCAUGGUUAAGUGGGAAACGAUGUGGGAAGGCCCAGACAGCCAGGAUGUUGGCUUAGAAGCAGCCAUCAUUUAAAGAAAGCGUAAUAGCUCACUGGUCGAGUCGGCCUGCGCGGAAGAUGUAACGGGGCUAAACCAUGCACCGAAGCUGCGGCAGCGACACUAUGUGUUGUUGGGUAGGGGAGCGUUCUGUAAGCCUGCGAAGGUGUACUGUGAGGUAUGCUGGAGGUAUCAGAAGUGCGAAUGCUGACAUAAGUAACGAUAAAGCGGGUGAAAAGCCCGCUCGCCGGAAGACCAAGGGUUCCUGUCCAACGUUAAUCGGGGCAGGGUGAGUCGACCCCUAAGGCGAGGCCGAAAGGCGUAGUCGAUGGGAAACAGGUUAAUAUUCCUGUACUUGGUGUUACUGCGAAGGGGGGACGGAGAAGGCUAUGUUGGCCGGGCGACGGUUGUCCCGGUUUAAGCGUGUAGGCUGGUUUUCCAGGCAAAUCCGGAAAAUCAAGGCUGAGGCGUGAUGACGAGGCACUACGGUGCUGAAGCAACAAAUGCCCUGCUUCCAGGAAAAGCCUCUAAGCAUCAGGUAACAUCAAAUCGUACCCCAAACCGACACAGGUGGUCAGGUAGAGAAUACCAAGGCGCUUGAGAGAACUCGGGUGAAGGAACUAGGCAAAAUGGUGCCGUAACUUCGGGAGAAGGCACGCUGAUAUGUAGGUGAAGCGACUUGCUCGUGGAGCUGAAAUCAGUCGAAGAUACCAGCUGGCUGCAACUGUUUAUUAAAAACACAGCACUGUGCAAACACGAAAGUGGACGUAUACGGUGUGACGCCUGCCCGGUGCCGGAAGGUUAAUUGAUGGGGUUAGCGGUAACGCGAAGCUCUUGAUCGAAGCCCCGGUAAACGGCGGCCGUAACUAUAACGGUCCUAAGGUAGCGAAAUUCCUUGUCGGGUAAGUUCCGACCUGCACGAAUGGCGUAAUGAUGGCCAGGCUGUCUCCACCCGAGACUCAGUGAAAUUGAACUCGCUGUGAAGAUGCAGUGUACCCGCGGCAAGACGGAAAGACCCCGUGAACCUUUACUAUAGCUUGACACUGAACAUUGAGCCUUGAUGUGUAGGAUAGGUGGGAGGCUUUGAAGUGUGGACGCCAGUCUGCAUGGAGCCGGCCUUGAAAUACCACCCUUUAAUGUUUGAUGUUCUAACGUUGGCCCCUGACCGGGGUUGCGGACAGUGUCUGGUGGGUAGUUUGACUGGGGCGGUCUCCUCCUAAAGAGUAACGGAGGAGCACGAAGGUUGGCUAAUCCUGGUCGGACAUCAGGAGGUUAGUGCAAUGGCAUAAGCCAGCUUGACUGCGAGCGUGACGGCGCGAGCAGGUGCGAAAGCAGGUCAUAGUGAUCCGGUGGUUCUGAAUGGAAGGGCCAUCGCUCAACGGAUAAAAGGUACUCCGGGGAUAACAGGCUGAUACCGCCCAAGAGUUCAUAUCGACGGCGGUGUUUGGCACCUCGAUGUCGGCUCAUCACAUCCUGGGGCUGAAGUAGGUCCCAAGGGUAUGGCUGUUCGCCAUUUAAAGUGGUACGCGAGCUGGGUUUAGAACGUCGUGAGACAGUUCGGUCCCUAUCUGCCGUGGGCGCUGGAGAACUGAGGGGGGCUGCUCCUAGUACGAGAGGACCGGAGUGGACGCAUCACUGGUGUUCGGGUUGUCAUGCCAAUGGCACUGCCCGGUAGCUAAAUGCGGAAGAGAUAAGUGCUGAAAGCAUCUAAGCACGAAACUUGCCCCGAGAUGAGUUCUCCCUGACUCCUUGAGAGUCCUGAAGGAACGUUGAAGACGACGACGUUGAUAGGCCGGGUGUGUAAGCGCAGCGAUGCGUUGAGCUAACCGGUACUAAUGAACCGUGAGGCUUAACCUUACAACGCCGAAG